rnacentral:tRNA from 1 species
GCGUUCGUAGUUUAGCGGUUAGAAUUUCUCGUUGCCAACGAGGAGACCCGGGUUCAACUCCCGGCGGACGCA